AUUGAACGCUGGCGGCGUGCUUUACACAUGCAAGUCGAGCGGCAGCACGGACUUCGGUCUGGUGGCGAGCGGCGAACGGGUGAGUAAUACAUCGGAACGUACCUUUUAGUUGGGGAUAACGCAUCGAAAGAUGUGCUAAUACCGAAUAAUCUCUGAGGAGGAAAGGCGGGGAUCGCAAGACCUGUCGCUGAAAGAGCGGCCGAUGGCCGAUUAGCUAGUUGGCGGGGUAAAAGCCACCAAGGCGAUGAUCGGUAGCUGUUCUGAGAGGAAGAUCAGCCACACUGGGACUGAGACACGGCCCAGACUCCUACGGGAGGCAGCAGUGGGGAAUUUUGGACAAUGGGGGCAACCCUGAUCCAGCAACACCGCGUGAAUGAAGAAGGCCUUAGGGUUGUAAAGCCCUGUGGGGAGGAACGAACCGUACGGGGGCGAACACCCUCCGUACCUGACGGUACCUCCUUAGCAAGCAUCGGCUAACUCUGUGCCAGCAGCCGCGGUAAUGUG
rnacentral:rRNA from 1 species